rnacentral:lncRNA from 12 species
UUCAGGAUCAGUGAAAAGGUAUUAGCAAGUUUGCUCAGAGCAUGAAGAUGGUUUUCAUCCUCAUACUAAGCAGAAACACAAAAGCAGACCUCCAUCCUGUGUACCUGCCCACACCUGCAGAAAACCCCAAAAUGAAACCAGUUGAUGAGUUCAAAUGGUGUUGCUGAUAGAGAACAAUUUCAUAAACUACAAAACACUCCACCUGUGUAAGUGUGAACAAUUGAGUUUUAAAAAAGAUUUAUUUACUUAUUUAUUUAUUUUAGAGAGAGUGUGCACGGGCAUGAGUGGGUAG